AUGGGAACGCGAAGAACCUUACCUAGACUUGACAUCUCCUGAAUAGUGUAGAGAUACAUGAAGCCCUUCGGGGCAGGAAGACAGGUGGUGCAUGGUUGUCGUCAGCUCGUGUCGUGAGAUGUUGGGUUAAGUCCCGCAACAAGCGCAACCCCUAUUAUUAGUUGCUAACAUUAAGUUGAGCACUCUAGUGAGACUGCCCGGGUUAACCGGGUAGGAAGGUGGGGAGUGACGUCAAAUACAUCAUGCCCCUUACUGUCUAGGGCUACACACGUGCUACAAUGGUGGGAACAAAGAGAUGCAAUACCGCAAGGUGGAGCUAAACUCAAAACCCCAUCCCAGUUCGGAUUGUAGGCUGAAACUCGCCUACAUGAAGCUGGAGUUGCUAGUAAUCGCGAAUCAGAAUGUCGCGGUGAAUACGUUCCCGGGUCUUGUACACACCG
rnacentral:rRNA from 1 species